rnacentral:rRNA from 1 species
UAUAUGAAGGUGUAUAUAGUUUAGCCUGCUCACUGAUUAUAUUAAAGAGCCGCAGUAUUCUGACUGUGCGAAGGUAGCAUAAUAAAUUGUCUUUUAAAUGGAGGCUUGAAUGAAAGGUUGGACAAAGUAUCAUCUGUUUCUUAAAUAUUUAUUGAAUUUGACUUUCAAGUGAAAAGGCUUGAAUAAAUUAAAAAGACGAUAAGACCCUAUAAAUCUUUACAAUAAACAUAUUUUAUAUUUUAAUAUAUAAGUUUAUAAGAUAUAAAUUUUGUAGUUGUUUCGCUGGGGCGGCGUGGAUAUAUAAAUAAACUGUCUAUAUAUUAAAUCCAAUAAUUAUUGAUUAAUAAAAUUGAUCCUUAAAUAGAUUAAAAGAUUAAGAUACUUUAGGGAUAACAGCGUUAUUUUUUUUGAGAGUUCUUAUCGAAGAAAAAGUUUGCGACCUCGAUGUUGAAUUAAAGUUUCUCUAUGGUGCAGCCGCUAUAAGAGAGAGUCUGUUCGACUUUUAAUACUUUACGUGAUCU